rnacentral:rRNA from 1 species
AUACGGAGGAUGCAAGCGUUAUCCGGAUUUAUUGGGUUUAAAGGGUGCGUAGGCGGUUUGCUAAGCGGGAGGUGAAAUGCCGGCGCUCAACGGCGGAAGUGCCUCCCGAACUGGUGGACUGGAAUGACUCUGCCGUGGGAGGAAUGUGUAGUGUAGCGGUGAAAUGCUUAGAGAUUACACAGAACACCGAUUGCGAAGGCAUCUCACGAAGGGUUGAUUGACGCUGAGGCACGAAAGCGUGGGGAUCAAACAGGAUUAGAUACCCUGGUAGUCCACGCAGUAAACGAUGAUGGCUAACCGCUGGUCUUUUCGGAUCAGUGGCCAAGCGAAAGCGAUAAGCCAUCCACCUGGGGAGUACGACCGCAAGGUUGAAACUCAAAGGAAUUGACGGGG